UGGGGAAUAUUGCGCAAUGGGCGAAAGCCUGACGCAGCAACGCCGCGUGAGUGAUGAAGGCCUUCGGGUCGUAAAGCUCUGUCGGAGGGAACGAAUGCUCCUGAAGUUAACAGCCUCAGGAGGUGACGGUACCCUCAAAGGAAGCACCGGCUAACUCUGUGCCAGCAGCCGCGGUAAUACAGAGGGUGCAAGCGUUGUUCGGAAUCACUGGGCGUAAAGGGCGCGUAGGCGGUCGAGUAAGUCGGAUGUGAAAUCCCCGGGCUUAACCUGGGAAUUGCAUUCGAUACUGCUUGGCUAGAGUGUGGAAGAGGGAAGCGGAAUUUCCGGUGUAGCGGUGAAAUGCGUAGAUAUCGGAAGGAACACCAGUGGCGAAGGCGGCUUCCUGGUCCAACACUGACGCUGAGGCGCGAAAGCGUGGGGAGCAAACAGGAUUAGAUACCCAAGUAGUCCCUGAGCGGGCUGGCAAGGCGCAU
rnacentral:rRNA from 1 species